GGGAACCUGAUGGUUGACGCCGCGUGGAGGAUAAGGUCUUCGGAUUGUAAACUCCUGUCAUGCGAGAACAAGGUUGCAGGCUAACACCACUGCAAAUUGAUGGUACCGCAAGAGGAAGAGACGGCUAACUCUGUGCCAGCAGCCGCGGUAAUACAGAGGUCUCAAGCGUUGUUCGGAAUCACUGGGCGUAAAGGGUGCGUAGGUGGCGUGGUAAGUCAGAUGUGAAAGCCCGGGGCUCAACCUCGGAAUUGCAUCCGAUACUGCCAUGCUAGAGUACUGAAGAGGUGACUAGAAUUCUAGGUGUAGCAGUGACAUGCGUAGAUAUCUAGAGGAAUACCAACGGCGAAGGCAGGUCACUGGGCAGUUACUGACACUGAGGCACGAAGGCCAUGGGAGCAAACGGGAUUAGAUACCCCGGUAGUCCUGGCAGUAAACGGUGCACGUUUGGUGUGGGCGCAAUCGACCGCGUCCGCGCCGGAGCUAACGCGUUAAGCGUGCCGCCUGGGAAGUACGGUCGCAAGAUUACAACUCAAAGAAAUUGACGGGGACCCGCACAAGCGGUGGAGUAUGUGGCUUAAUUCGAUGCAACGCGAAGAACCUUACCUGGUCUUGACAUGCAUCGUGUCUCCGGUGAAAGCCGG
rnacentral:rRNA from 1 species